AUUGAACGCUGGCGGCAUGCUUUACACAUGCAAGUCGAACGGCAGCACGGGUGCUUGCACCUGGUGGCGAGUGGCGGACGGGUGAGUAAUACAUCGGAACGUGUCCAGAAGAGGGGGAUAACGCAUCGAAAGAUGUGCUAAUACCGCAUAUGCUCUGAGGAGGAAAGUAGGGGAUCGAAAGACCUUACGCUUUUGGAGCGGCCGAUGUCUGAUUAGCUAGUUGGUGGGGUAAGGGCCUACCAAGGCGACGAUCAGUAGUUGGUCUGAGAGGACGACCAGCCACACUGGGACUGAGACACGGCCCAGACUCCUACGGGAGGCAGCAGUGGGGAAUUUUGGACAAUGGGCGCAAGCCUGAUCCAGCAAUGCCGCGUGAGUGAAGAAGGCCUCGGUUGUAAGUACGUACUUUCUAGUCGAGAAGAAAAGGACGUAGCAGU
rnacentral:rRNA from 1 species